rnacentral:rRNA from 1 species
GUAGGUGGGGUAACGGCUCACCUAGGCGACGAUCCCUAGCUGGUCUGAGAGGAUGACCAGCCACACUGGAACUGAGACACGGUCCAGACUCCUACGGGAGGCAGCAGUGGGGAAUAUUGCACAAUGGGCGCAAGCCUGAUGCAGCCAUGCCGCGUGUGUGAAGAAGGCCUUCGGGUUGUAAAGCACUUUCAGCGGGGAGGAAGGCG